rnacentral:tRNA from 1 species
GUAGAGCAGUGGUUAGCUCGUCGGGCUCAUAACCCGAAGGUCGGGAGUUCAAAUCUCCCC